rnacentral:rRNA from 1 species
CGAUACAAUCAUACCAGCACUAAAGCACCGAAUCCCAUCAAAACUCCGAAGUUAAGCGUGCUUGGGCGAGAGUAGUACUAGGAUAGGUGACCUCCUGGGAAGUCCUCGUGUUGCAUUCC